UGAGUAAGCCAGACGGUCGCCUGUAACAGGGAGGAAAGUCCGGGCUUCGUAGAGCAAUGGUGCCGGCUAACGACCGGUGGAGGCGACUCUAAGGACAGUGCAACAGAAAUAAACCGCCAUAUCUUUUGGUAUGGUAAGGAUGGAAAGGUGAGGUAAGAGCUCACCGCUUUGCCGGUAACGGCAUUGGCUCUGUAAACCCCACCUGAAGCAAGACCUAUUAAAGCGUUUUGGAGCUGCUCGUUCCGCUUUGGCAUGGUCGCAUGAUGACAUCGGUAACGAUGUACCAAGAUAGAUGACCGUUUAACACAGAACCCGGCUUAUAGACUUGCUCACGAU
rnacentral:RNase_P_RNA from 1 species